rnacentral:misc_RNA from 1 species
AAGGAUCAUUAUUGAAUAAACUUGGUUGGGUUGUUGCUGGCUCUUUGGAGCAAGUGCACACCUGGCGCCAUUUUUACCACCUGUGCACCCUUUGUAGACCUGGAUACCUCUCGAGGAAACUCGGUUUGAGGACUGUUGUGCUAAAAAAAGCCAGCUUUCCUUACAUUUCCGGUCUAUGUCUUUAAUACACCCCAAAAGAAUGUGAUAGAAUGUCAUUAAUUGGCCUUAGUGCCUUUAAAUCAAAUACAACUUUCAACAACGGAUCUCUUGGCUCUC